rnacentral:rRNA from 1 species
GACGGAGGAUGCAAGCGUUAUCCGGAAUGAUUGGGCGUAAAGCGUCCGCAGGUGGUAGUUCAAGUCUGCUGUCAAAGACCGGGGCUUAACUUCGGAAAGGCAGUGGAAACUGAACAGCUAGAGUAUGGUAGGGGCAGAGGGAAUUCCUGGUGUAGCGGUGAAAUGCGUAGAUAUCAGGAAGAACAUCGGUGGCGAAGGCGCUCUGCUGGACCAUAACUGACACUCAGGGACGAAAGCUAGGGGAGCGAAUGGG